rnacentral:rRNA from 1 species
AUGAGUGGCGAACGGGUGAGUAACACGUGAGUAACCUGCCUCUUCUUUGGGAUAACGCCCGGAAACGGGUGCUAAUACUGGAUAUUCACUGAUCUUCGCAUGGGGGUUGGUGGAAAGGUUUUUCUGGUGGGGGAUGGGCUCGCGGCCUAUCAGCUUGUUGGUGGGGUGAUGGCCUACCAAGGCUUUGACGGGUAGCCGGCCUGAGAGGGUGACCGGUCACAUUGGGACUGAGAUACGGCCCAG